UUCUCCGUUUCUCAAGCUCACACACUUUCUUCUCAACCUUCUUACCAAAACCGCUGAAAGAUUAUAAAAACAUCAACAAAAGAAAAAAAAUGAGACCCAUAAGCCACCUUGACACCACCAUGAGCACAUCAAAGGCAGCAGCCACCUCACCAUCACCACCAGCAAUAGCCCAACCUCGCUCAGCAUGGCACUCUCCAGUGCCAUACCUCUUUGGAGGUCUAGCAGCUAUGCUGGGCUUGAUUGCUUUUGCUUUAUUAAUCUUGGCUUGCUCUUAUUGGAGAUUGUCUGGUCGUUUAGACAGUGAAAAUGAAGGUAACGAUCAAAGAGAUCUUGAAAGUGGUAAUGAAAAGGAAGGAAGUAACCCUGGGAAGGCAGAGAAAAGGGUUUAUGAAGAGAAGUUCCUUGUUAUUAUGGCGGGGAAUGAGAAUCCAACAUGUUUAGCCACUCCUGUUUGUAGUAAAGUUGCUUCCUUUGUAGCCCAGAUUGAUAACCAAGAAGAAGAGAAGACAGAGAGCACCGGUGAUCAUUACAAGCUGAAAAAUGAAGAAACGAUAGGGGACAGCCAUGAUCAAGCAAGAACAACAGCUGAAGAAAACAUAGAGACACAAGAGAAUCAACAAGAAGUCCAAGAAGAACAAAAUUAAGCUGCAAUGAGCAGGAAAUAAAUCAAUUUUGGAGAUGAAAGGAGAGUGUUUAAUUUUUUCUUUUUUUCUGGUUCUUUUCCUGGUUUUUGGUGUUUUGGGUGCUGUUCUUGUAGCAAGUACUUCGGGAAGUGUAAAAAAUUUGCAGAGAUGAGGCGAUUCUUGAAGUAGAAGAAAAGGUUUUCUUCUUUACAGCAAAUUACAGCCAAAUUUUGCUUAGUAAUUAAUCAUAUUUUUCUUCAUAAUUACUUUUCCCAAUAUCUUUGAUCCGUUUUUACAGCCAGCGAUGAUAACAAAUUACAGCCAAAGUUAUAUAUUAACCCAACCCAGGCAAUGACUUGAGUUAUUAAUCCAGUUAAAAAAAAAAGUUAUUUCAAUUUUAUAUAUAAAAAAUCAAAAUAAUAUUAUUUUCAUUUAUUUUUAAAAAAUUAUAUUGAAUUUAACUAAAUUAUUUGAGUUGAUAAUUGAUUUUACUGAUCAGACGAGUUAAAUUAAAUCAAUCUUGAGUUAAUUUUCUUAAAAUCAAACAUGCAUAGGAUAUAAUUUAAUAUUAAUUAAGCUUGAAAUUAAAGAAUUUUUAAUGGUUUGAAGUGGGUUUUGGUGCUUUAAAUUUUUUAAAGCUAAUGAAUUUUAUAUAUAUAAUGAAUACGAUACUUCAAGAAUCAUCUUUUGUAGAAGGGAUUGUUAAUUCAGUUGUAAAAAAAAGAAAAGAAAAACUAAUGGAGAAUAAAGUGUAAAAAAUGGACUUGAAGGGUCAUAUACUCUUUAAAUGUAUUUCUCUUAAUUUGGCUGCCGGAAAAUUCCAAGGAACAAAUUACCCGUAAAGUACAGUGACAAGAAAUCAAGUAGUCCAACGUCAUAAUUUGAAAUAAAAAAAAUCAAUAAAUUUUAAAAACGCGUUUUUAAAUGCAAAAGUAAAGACAGCCGAUGAGUACACGAGAAAGCAGGCUUUUUUGCCAUGGACUCCUUUCUUGGGAUGCAAAUACGAGACACGUGGUGAUCUCUCGUUGGACUGUGAGCAAUGGAAAGCAACGUGCUAGCUUUAGCAGCUGGGUUGUCUGCGCGCGGCGAUGCGAAGACGCGUUUGUUGAUAAAUAAAUGAUUAAUUAACGGACAGCUGUUUUCCCCUUAUUAAUAAUAAUCCCCUGUGAACAGCAGAGAAUCUUGCUAAUCUCUAUACAAGCCAAGCUCAGGCCAUCUCUUGGAGAUCAAGUAAAGACGGAAGAACAUUCUUUCUAGAGAUCAAGAAUGGUUUCGAUAGUUGUCUUGCCAGGUGUACACCUGCUGAGGUGUUUUACUUAAUCGUACGUGGAGCAUAAUUUUUAUUUUAUUUUAUUUUAAGAUAGUUGAGAUAUUGUACAAGAUAUGUAUUUUUAUUUUUUCUGUUUUAAAAUGAUAAUUAUUCUAAAAUUAUUUUAGAAAUAUAUUUAUUGAAACGUGUUUUCGUAUAAGUUUCUGGGGUUAAAUACAUUUUAUAUCUUCUAUAUUUAUUUUUUCUAUUUAUAUUUAUCUUUUUGAAACAUUAACUAAAUAUAAUAUUUAUAAUAUAUAAGGAUUGUGCCAGCUCAAAUAUGAGUAAUUUCGAAGCUAUUUUCAUUCUUUGUAUCAUAUAGUCAUUAUUACAUAUUUGAAAAAAAAAUAAUCUCUUCACAAUUAUAUACUAAAAAAAGUAUAUUUAUAAUUAAAUACUAAAUAGAACUUAUUAGAUGCAAAUUCGAUGGUAAAAACCACAUUGUAAUCUUAAUGAAUUCUUUUUUAUCUAUCAUAUAAUAUUGAUAAAUAGAUUGUUGUGUAUUGAUAAAGAAGGCAAGCGUGGAUAAUUAUAGUUUGUAUAAUAUGCAUACAAGGAAUGAGAACAACUACUAGGUGCAUGUUAGAUUUUUAUUUUAUUUGUUUUUUACUUUAAAAGAAUCAAUGCUUUUUAAGUAUUUGUCUUUUUUAAUGAUUUUAAUAUACUAAUAUUAAAAAUUAUAAAUAACAUAAUUUUAAUACAUUUUCAACUAAAAAAUACUUUACACUAUAUUAACAAAUAUACACUAAAAAUAUAUUUGAGUUUGCUGUUAAAACUUCAUUUCAUUUAUAAAAAAAAUACAUUAAAUUGUUAUUUUUUACCUAUAAAAACCAAGUCUAAAGCCCAUACAUGGAAGAGAAUCAUUACAAUUUAAAGCAAAUAAUCACUUCUCCAUCUUUGUUUUAUUUUAUUUUAAGUGAUCACCUGGCAUUGAAGAAAAGCAAAAGGGAAACUCAAGAUUCUAAAUUUAUUUUAGCCUCGCAUCAAAGUUGGUUUAAAGAACGAAAUGCUUCCUCUACAAAUUAUCACAUACCCUAACUCGUAUAAAAAUUGAAUUUAAGCCUAAUAAUUAUUAUUAUCCGUCCCAUCUCAUGGUAUACAUAUUUCACGAUAUCUGUUGAUAUCAACUCGUGAUUCGAUAGAUAUUUUGAUUAGAAACAUACCUUGCCCUUGCAGCAUGGUUCAUGUCAUGUUAUUGGACCAAACAAUCUUACUUUUCCGACAAAUAAGCCCACAUGAUGCAACUCUGAGCAUAUAGUGUUAAAUAUAUAGCUAUUUGGAAUCAAACUACUAUAGCUUCUACAUGGUUAAAAAAUAAAAAAGAUAUUAAGACAUGGUAUACUUGUAGUAUUUUUGGACCCGCUCAUGCUUUUUUAAACUAUAUCAAGACAUAUCCUUCGUGUUAGCCUUGUAUAUUUAGAGAAAUUUAAUAAGUUUAAGUAAGUUUUGGCAUUGUAAUUUGAAAUCAUAAUUUUUUUAUAAAAAAUCUUCUUAAUCUCAUAAUUAUUAAACUCUGAGUUGAUCAAUCUAUUUAAUCUAAAAACCAAAUUAUAUUCAAGCUGAAAUAAUUUUAAUAUCAACUCAAUAAAAACCAAUUAAUUUAUUCAAACCAGUUUAUAUAUGAUUAAACCAAUCAAUACAUGAAAAUAAAAUAAAAAUUAAAAUAAUAUUGUUUUAAAUAAAAAUAAUAAACCAAGGUAACAUAUUAACUCACAAAUUGAUCCAAUAACCGGAAGUGUGACAAAUAUAGUUUUUGUGCAUCAAAGUUGAACCAAUAAUCUUUUUUUAUUAUUAAAAAAAUUCAACCAAUAUUCUUUUUUUAUUAUUAAAAAAAAAUCAUGCAUGUAUUCGUAUAAGGGCUGACACUCACGAAACAAUACUUGUUCACAAGCCCAUCUGCCCUGCUUGGAACCACAUCUUCACAGCCCUCAACACGCUCGACACUUCACUGGCUUGUAUUCUUGGAAAUUGCUUGCUUGUUUUAAGUAAAGAGAGAGAGCUUCAGUACUUGGUGUGAACAAAAACCUGCGAAACUGAUCGAGUUCGUGACAUGCACUUGUAGUAGUAGCGAGUGCUUGCCCCCUCACUCUUUGUACGAUCCUCGCAUGAUUUGUUACUUCAAAAUAAAAAAAUUCUGAAAGCACAGAGAGAGGCCAAGGAGCAAGAGCCUAAUUAGGAGAACGGAGGGCAAUGGCCAUGGCCGAUAAGGAAGAGUGGCAAGCAUAGCAUAAAGUAAUGGUGCUUGAGAAGACAACAGUGAACUUUGUUGGACUUUCUCUGUGUAAACACCGCAAGAUUUAAAGCAACAGGCAGGGACAGAGCCUACCACAUGAUCAGAUAUGUGUGUGAUGUGACUUUCGAUGCCUGUCAUCAAACAGUAUCUCAUGGCUAUCUAUCUCUUUCUAAUCUGGGGACCAUGAAAGACUAUAUAUAAAGAAGGAUGCAUGUUGCAUAUAACUAUAGCUAGCUUGCUGAUGUAAUUGUAUUGUUGCAAUAUUUCACUUGGAGAUUCUGGAGUCCUUUCUUGUUUCCCUCUUGUUAAUUACAUCAUUCUGAAUUACAGCCAAUCCAAUUUGCAUACAUAUAAGAAUAAAAGUUAAUAUUACAUGUAAAAAUAAAAUUAAUUGUAUUUGCUAUUUAAAAUUAAAUUAAAAACUUGAACCCACGGUAUUCAUAUAAAUCCAGGAGAGAUACAUAAUCAAUCGCAUGACUGUUAUAAAUUGAUAAAACGAGAUUUAUCAACUCACCUGAAAAUCAUAUAAAAAAAAAAGGGGAUUCCAUUUAUAAAAUGUGAGAUUUAAACUAUAUAUAAUAUUACAGGUUAUUAUUCCACCCGUUAGUCAGCUAGCCACUACCUCAAGACCUUUGGCAAAUUCUAAACAUGAGCUGAUUUUGCCUAUUGCAUUGCAUCAUAACAACUUUACAAAGCAUAGGAUAGAUUUCCAUCUCAAUCACUUCAUAAAAAGAGUCCAAGACAAAACCAAACCCUAGCCAAUCAAGGGUUUAUCUUCCUUACAAAUCAACAGUUGAAAAAAGGAAGAACAAGUGCAUCUUUUCUAUGUGCGAAUGGAGGAUGGGGCAGGUUUCUUAGAACAUGGCCAAAUGGAUCAAAUCAAUCACAAAGCAAAUAAUAAAACGGAAGAAAGGGACACUGGAUUUGUUGCUGCUUUACACACAAGCUUAUUCCAUUUUAUCUCUACUUAAUGAUUAUGGUCUCUCUCUUGAUCCACACAUCUUAUCACACCCAAAAAACGAAGAAACAAAAGUUCAGUGCGUUUUACUGUACCCUAAAGAUACAUUUAUGGGCCCCAAGCAGUUUUAAAAUCACAUAAAAUCAUAUUAAAAUUUUCCUAAAAAUAUCUUUAUUUUAUGUCAUAAUCUUGCGAUUAUUUUAUCUUGUUUUUCGAGGGAAACAUUCUAUGAACAAAUUAUAGGUUAAAAACCGAAAGUUAAACCUGUAAUUAUCAAUAAGGAUUGUGUCAAUACAUUGAUGUUACUGCACACAGUAGAAGAAUAUUUUGAGCAUAACACAAAACGAUUCAAUGCAUGAGAAUAUUAUUUCAUCCUGAAGAGAAUUGUUGCCUUUGUAAUAAGUGGAACAGGAAACGUGUGAAAUCCAAGAUGGAAUAAUGUCAAAUCAAUUAUUUUCUUGGUGACAAUGCUGGAUUCUCUGUUUGAUCCUAUAGAUGUCAAUGGUGGUUGGAUUUUGAUUUGAAGUUACAUUUGUUGACACAGACCCGCAAAAAUAUUGUUCUGAGAAGAUGAAUUGUAGAUUUUAGAGUUUAGUUGGUAAAAGAAUCAUGAUUUGAAUAUAAAUUAAUUUUGAUAUAUUAAUUAAUUAAACAUGAAAGAUUUAAAAGAAAAAUUACUAUUCCAUUUCAAAUCAAGUACUGGCCAUUAUAUUGCAUGAUAGGAAACAAAUAUGUUUUAUUAUUGAAUUUAGGGGAAAAAAUGUUUUUCAUUACUAAUCAUAAAUCUUUUAUUUUAUAAGAGUUGAACAAAUAAUUUUAUUUUUUAUUUAAAAAAAAAAUUAUAAUUUUUAUUAUUUUUUGUAACCCCCACUUAUUUUAUUUUAUAACUGAGAGUCAUGUUAUGUAACUCAAAAUCUAAUAAACUCUUUAAUAAUCAUUGUUAUUAAAUUUAAUUUAGCAUGCUCAAGCUGAUAUAGAACAUGAUCCAGGCUAAGUUUCAUAGAGAAAUAAAAAACAUUGACUUAAUCAAGAGUCUGAAUUGAUCCAAGACCAUAUCAAUCAGGGCAAAAUUUAUUAAUUUUUUUUUAAAUAAAACAAUAUUAUUUUAUUUAAAUAAAUAAAUAUCAAUUUAAUUUAUAUGACUCAUGAUUUAGAUCUUGCAUCGAGUAAAACCUUAAGUUAGAUUUAAUAAUAAUAUUAAUAAUUAAAUAAAAAUAACUCCAUUAAACCAUUGCUGCUAUUUAAAGUUUCAAUAUAUAAGUAUUGACUUAAUCAAAAGUAUGAAUUGACCCAAGACCAUAUCAAUCAGGGCAAAAUUUAUUAAUUUUUUUUUAAAAAAUUAAAAUAAUAUUAUUUUAUUUAAAUAAAUAAAUAUUAAUUUAAUUUAUAUGACUCGUGAUUUAGGUCAUGCAUCGAGUAAAACUUUAAGUUACAUUUAAUAAUAAUAUUAAUAAUUAAAUAAAAAUAACUCCAUUAGACCAUUGCUGCUAUUUAAAGUUUUAAUAUAUAAGUAUUGACUUAAUCAAAAUUAUGAAUGGACCCAAGACCAUAUCAAUUAGGGCAAAAUUUAUUAAUUUUUUUUAAAAAAUUAAAAUAAUAUUAUUUUAUUUAAAUAAAUAAAUAUCAAUUUAAUUUAUAUGACUCAUGAUUUAGGUCUUGCAUCGAGUAAAACUUUAAGUUACAUUUAAUAAUAAUAUUAAUAAUUAAAUAAAAAUAACUCCAUUAGACCAUUGCUUCUAUUUAAAGUUUCAAUAUAUAAGUAUUGACUUAAUCAAAAAUAUGAAUUGACCCAAGACCAUAUCAAUAAGGAAAAAAUUUAUUAUUAUUUUAAAAAAAUUAAAAUAAUAUAAUUUUAUUUAAAUAAAUAAAUAUCAAUUUAAUUUAUAUGACUCAUGAUUUAGGUCUUGCAUCGAGUAAAAUUUUAAGUUAGAUUUAAUAAUAAUAUUAAUAAUUAAAUAAAAAUAACUCCAUUAGACCAUUACUACUAUUUAAAGUUUCAAUAUAUAAGUAUUGACUUAAUUAAAAGUAUGAAUUGACCAAAGACUAUAUCAGGGUAAAAUUUAUUAAAACUUUUUUUAAAAAAUUAAAAUAAUAUAAUUUUAUUUAAAUAAAUAAAUAUCAAUUUAAUUUAUAUGACUCAUGAUUUAGGUCUUGUAUCGAGUAAAAUUUUAAGUAAGAUUUAAUAAUAAUAUUAAUAAUUAAAUAAAAAUAACUUCAUUAGACCAUUGCUCCCACUUAUAAAUUGCACCGCCCUACUUCUCCGUUUCUCAAGCCUCACACACUUUCUUCUCAACCUUCUUACCAAAACCCCUGAAAGAUUAUAAAAACAUCAACAAAAGAAAAAAAUGAGACCCAUAAGCCACCUUGACACCACCAUGAGCACAUCAAAGGCAGCAGCCACCUCACCAUCACCGCCAGCAUUGCACUCUCCAGUGCCAUACCUCUUUGGAGGUCUAGCAGCUAUGAUGGGCCUGAUUGUUUUUGCUUUAUUAAUCUUGGCUUGCUCUUAUCGGAGAUUGCCUGGUCGUUUAGAUAGUGAAAAUGAAGGCAACGAUCAAAGAGAUCUUGAAAGUGGAAAUGAAAAGGAAGGAAGUAACCCUGGGAAGGCAGAGAAAAGGGUUUAUGAAGAGAAGUUCCUUGUUAUUAUGGCGGGGAAUGAGAAGCCAACAUGUUUAGCCACUCCUGUUUGUAGUAAAGUUUCUUCCUUUGUAGCCCAGAUUGAUAACCAAGAAGAAGAGAAGACAGAGAGCACCGGUGAUCAUUACAAGCUGAAAAAUGAAGAAACGAUAGGGGACAGCCAUGAUCAAGCAAGAACAACAGCUGAAGAAAACAUAGAGACACAAGAGAAUCAACGAGAAGUCCAAGAAGAACAAAAUUAAGCUGCAAUGAGCAGGAAAUAUAUAAAUCAAUUUUGGAGAUGAAAGGAGAGUGUUUAUUUUUUUCUUUUUUUCUGGUUCUUUUCCUGGUUUUUUGUGUUUUCGGUUCUGUUCUUGUAGUACUUCGGGAGGUGUAAAAAGUUUGCAGAGAUGAGGCAAUUCUUGAAGUAGAAGAAAAGGUUUUCUUCUUUACAGCAAAUUACAGCCAAAUUUUGCUUAGUAAUUAAUCAUAUUUUUCUUCAU
rnacentral:lncRNA from 1 species